UGGAAAAACGGCUCCUGUGCAGGCUGCCUCCCAGCUCUGUCCUCCCACACUUCGUCCUCCCACAGCCAAGGGAGUUGACCCGUGUUCUCACUGGGCCGCUGGAACCCAACAGCAUGGACAUCCCGGUUGGUGGGCACCCAGCUCUCCCCUCCGGAGGUACUGUCACACCCUCUCCCGCCUCACCGGGGGCACAGGGCCCUGCCAGACCCAGGUGAUGUCAGGAAAUGCUGUCCUCAGUCUGGAGGACCACCGAGCCACUUUCCUCCUCGGAGCCCUUCCCUCCAGCCCAGGUGGUCACACAGCUUUCACCCCGUGUCAGGUUUGCUCUUUUCUGCUUCCUGCCUUCAUUUCCUGAAUGACAUCCUUUUGAGCAUGUAUGAUGACAAGCAGGGCUGGACCCUGGGUCUGCAGCAGUGAACCGGCCCAGUCACCUGCCCUCAGGGGUCUUGCAGGAGAGGGCCUCCGCAUCCUCUCCCGCACUGCAGACCAGCAAGCCCCUCCCCUGCUGUGGCCUUUCCAGUAACGGCUGCUGGGAGAGAAAGUGCCAGUCGGAGAGUGAGUGUGCAGCCAGGUGGGGCCAUUUCCCCUGCGUCCACAUAGUGGCCCACCCAGCAGGACUGUCCCGUUCCUGUUUCCCCUGGUGCAUGCUCUAGGGAUGCCCCAGACGGGCCCUGCCCUCUGACCCCUGCCUGUCCGGGCUCAGCGUCCUCUGCUCCCUUUGUCCUCUGAUGCUCCAGCCCUUUCUGCCGCCCAGCCUGUGUGUGGAUCAGGGCUGUUUUGGGGGUGGGCUUAGAGGGCACGGGAUGGAAGUUGUUUGGAGGGGAGGGGCCAUAUGCAAUUUGUUUAUCAUGUGCAUUUUUUCAUUUGCCAUUCUCACUGUGAUUGAUUUGAAUGAAUUUGGCACUGUGAAAUCUGCAGAGUCAAAAAUCAAAAAGAAAAAUCAAAAGAACAUCGGCAUUGGAGGCACAUGCAAUAAAGGAGUCCAGGUGGUAGUUGGAGGUUGGAGGCUGGAAGGAACACACAGGUCUCAAAGGAAGUGGCUGAGGGAUCUGCAGAGACUCAUCUGAGCCUGUGGCUGAUGACAGGGUGUUGGGGCAGCCACGGCCGAGAGGGCCGUGCUCGGAGCCACACAGCUUUCAGUGCUCACGAGAAGGGACUGGCCCUCCCCAGGGCUGACCAAGUUCCUCAGUACUGCAUCCAGCUGUGCUCCUGGCCUCAUUUCUUCUCUCCUUCAUGAAUUAACUCCCAGACACAGCAGCCCCUGGAGGUGGUGGGGACUAACCAGGGACGGGAAAGGGUCAGUCAGCCUGUGGUCAGCAGGGUGGGCGGGUGCAGGCCUGGUGUUCCCAGGAUACUUUGCUGGGUCAUGCAGUUAUCCCCAUCACGUAUCACUCCAGCUCCCUGGCGGGCACAGCCUGUGGCUGUUCCUGGAGGCACCCCUGGAAUGAGUACAGUUCAUGGACAGGCUUCAAAACAGCCCAGAGCAAAGAUUUGGGUCUGAGGGCGGGGGCAUGGCUCUGCGGUCUUCGCCUCCACGGUUCCCUGACUUGGUCCUGCAGUUGCCCAGGAGAGGCAAGGCCACCUCCUUGUUAAGGGCUUGCUUGUUCCUGGUGGUCUCUGUCAGGAGCCCCCACCCCGCUGGCCCCAGACUCCAACACCUGUCCAGGUGUGUGAGCCAGUGUACAUCUGGCAGCAGAGAGGCCUGUACGAGCACAGCCCACAGGCCCCAGUGACGUUUGUCAAGUGUUUAUUCUAUCAACAUUCUUCAUUUCUGGCCUGAUUUCAAUCCUAGGAGGUGGGUACAAUAAGUCCAAUUCUAAAAAUAAUAAAAUGGAACAGAGACCUGAGGAGUUGGCUUCAUGAUGGGGGAUCAAUGUCCCAAUUUUAGCACCAAAGUCCUGCGACCUGGGAAGCCCUCGGUGCUGGGCAAACCAGGAUGGUUGUUGCCCUGAUUCAGGAUCACCCAGGUAAUAGGUAGAGGGCUGAAUUCAAGCCCGGCUCAGCCGCAUGGAGCCUCGGCCUGCACUCUGCACUGCUUCUGAGCGGUGCUGGGAGCAGCGCUGUCCAAGGAGCCCGGGUCAUAAAACCCAGCUGGUGAAUAGGAACCAUGUUUGUAUGUUCUAGAAGAUGAAAGAAUAGAAUUGAAUUGAAUAAUAAAGAUCAGAGUACAUUAUGCACAAUUAGGACACAUAUAUUUUAAUGAAGAAAGUAAUUUAAAUAAAAAUGUGUUUUAUUUAUGCUUAUAUAUUUUUGCUUGUGUAUAUAUGUGUGUAUAUAAUGUUUUAGAUAUACAAAUAUAUGUGUUAUAAGUAUGUUUGGUAUUUUAUUUCAUAUUUUAUAUUUAUGUUUUAUGUUGUAAAUAUGUUUAUCGGUUAUAAAUCUAUGUGAAUA
rnacentral:lncRNA from 1 species